UAUACUAUACUUUAAAUUUAUUGCCGAAAUUAAUAUAAUUUAAUAGAAAAUUACUAGUUAGUAUGUGUAUCAAGUACUCGGUGUAAACUAGGCCAUAGCCUUUAUAUAGCUACUUCCGUCACCAAUCGUUGCGCCAAAUGCUCCCUCCUGUGUCUUUUUACUCAUUGGAGCCAUGCGAGGAUCGCAUGUGCUAGGGCCGUAUUGUGAUUUAUUCCGAUUUCGCGUCUUAUUCUAUUCGCACAAUGUUUAUUAGAAAUUUAGCCAUGGCGAUUUAUGAUUGAGUUUAGUAUACUAAAUAACUGUGAGAUCGUGAAAUUAAAAAAAUCUCUCCUACUUCCGGGAUUUUAUUUUCUAAGAUGAUUCGAACGUCUGAGUUUCCGUCCCAAUAGAUGCACAGUUUACUAAUAGGCAACUUGAUCAACCGCUUUGGAACGUGAGUUAGUUUUAACUAAUCCCUCGGUUUCAGCAUUCUCGAACUUGACCUGCCUCUUCCCCUUCUUAUUGUCCCGUUCCCUAUUCACCGUCUCCCUUACUAGCGUCUCAUCGACGUUUCCACCGAGGGUAGAAUAGGGUCAGAGUCGUGUCAGAGUCGGGUUAGCUCGUCUGUUUCCACCGGAUCAAUAUUAUGUAGGGUUGCAGCGGGGUUGUGACAAGGUUGAAAAGAACAGCCAAUGUUGAAUGUUUGUUCCAAACUGCAUCUGUACGAUAAAUGAUAUGAAAAUAAAUAUAAAAAAUAAUUCAUUCAUGUACUAGAAAUAAAAACAUAGUUACAUACUUGA